AAUACGUAGGGGGCUAGCGUUGCUCGGAAUUACUGGGCGUAAAGCGCACGUAGGCGGCUUUCUAAGUCGGGGGUGAAAGCCCAGGGCUCAACCCUGGAAUUGCCUUCGAUACUGAAGAUCUCGAGACCGGAAGAGGUAAGUGGAACUGCGAGUGUAGAGGUGAAAUUCGUAGAUAUUCGCAAGAACACCAGUGGCGAAGGCGGCUUACUGGUCCGGUUCUGACGCUGAGGCGCGAAAGCGUGGGGAGCAAACAG
rnacentral:rRNA from 1 species